CAAUAAAAACCAAGAGUUCAUCAUUUAAUGGCGGCCUCCAAGGGCACACGAGAAAUCUAAAAUCUUGUGAAAUUCAUAUUAUUCCUUAAACUUUUAAACAGUAAAUAAAGUAUUUACAAAUAUAAUGGCAUCAGCACCACCAACUCCGCCUUUGGUAACUCCUGCGCCGCCAACCAAUCAACCGGCAGAUAUCGACGAUAAUAAGGUACCGCAGGACUCGGGAGACUCUGGAAGAAAUCCUGGGACCUUUGAAGACAUUCAUAAAAAAACUCGAGAUGUUUUCCCUAACCCUUUCGAAGGAGCCAGACUCGUUGUGAAUAAGGGUUUAUCGAACCAUUUUCAAAUAAACCAUUCGCUGACCUUGUCUUCACUGCAACAAUCGUGCUAUAAAUUUGGCGCAACCUACGUAGGAACAAAGCAGAUAUCACCUAACGAAGCUUUCCCUGUUUUACUAGGAGAUAUUGAACCAAGCUCGGGAAAUGUAAAUGCUAAUAUAAUUCAUCAGUUUACCGAUAACAUUCGUACUAAAUUUGUUACCCAAAUUCAAAAUAAAAAGUGGGCUAUUUCUCAGCUGGCCAAUGACAUCAGGGGCUACAAUUACACAGCAACCGUAACUAUUGGCAAUCCUGAUUUGAUGACAGAAUCGGGAGUUUUAGUAGCUCAUUAUUUACAAAAUAUUACUAAAAAUCUGGAUAUGGGUGCUGAAUGGAUCUAUCAAAGAAGCCCUAAUGUUCCUGGAGGUCAAAUGGGAGUUGUAUCUGUUGGUGGGCGAUAUGUGAGAGGACCUUGGACAUUCAGUGGAAACUUAACUUUAUUUUCUCUAUCGGAAAGUAGUAUACACGGUUGUUUUCAUAGAAAGCUGAAUGAAAGUCUUCAGUUACGAUCUAAGUCAACAUGAAAACUAUUAUUAAAGUACUCAGUAAUUUAGAAAGAUUUGGAUGAUGCGUGAGAUCGUUACAACAUAAAAGACAUAACGGAAUUGGAAUAUUUACGAAGAAAGAAUAAGUUUAUAUAAGUGAAUUAAGAUUAUAAAGUUCCAAAGAGAGGUUUAGAAAGUCUUCUAUAGGAUAUUAAUUAUGACAAACGAGUGGUAGUAGAGGCCUCAGUUUUUUCCACAAAGCCCUUAUUAAAUUCCGUUGAAAUAGAGCGUGGUUAAUUAGUUUUAUAAAGUUACAGAAUCUUUUUUGCGAUACAUUUUUAGAUAUUAAAUAACAAUUUUUUUAUAAUAUAAAAAGAAAGCUUUCUUGUCAGCUUGGAACAUUUCUCAGUCGAAACGAUGAAACGAUACACUUUGUUAUUAAGACUGCUUGAUAUUUUCAUUUAUCCAAAUAAAAAUGGAUAACUAACCGUAUUUAUCUUGUUAAAGUAAAUAAUUUAGGAAUUUUUUCAUUUUAUAAAGAAAAGGUGGCAGUAUUUAAGUUAUCAGCUAAAAAUUUCGGAUUCGACCUCUGCCCUACUUAGGGAACAUUCUCCGCAAAUUUUACAAUUUCUUUUUUUCAUUAUUCUUUACGUUACUUCUUUCAUCUUAUUUAAUAGCGAUUUAAAUGUUUAUAAGAAGAGUAGACAGUUACAGCUUUAAUUAUUUAUUUUACUAGCAUAGCUCAUUUAUUAUUUUUACAUUAUUUCUUAUCAGAUCGCUGGAGAAAUCGAAAGCAAUCAGAGAACUAAAGAAUGUACAGCGACCAUAGGCUAUCAAGUCGAUCUUCCCCAGGCUCAUCUUACUUUCAGAGGUAAUAAUUUAGCGUAAAUUUCGAAGGUUGCUAUUUUUUAUCUUAUGUAAAAUGUCUCUUCUAUUCCUACAGGCCAAAUCGACAGUAAUUACCAAGUAGGCGCUGUUUUCGAAAAGAAAUUGCCCCCUCUUCCCUUCACUUUCCAGAUGAGUGGAUGGGCUAAUCACGUCAAGCAAACUUUUAGAUUUGGUUUAGGAUUGAUGAUUGGUUGAAAAAUAUUUCUUUAAAAAAACUGUGUUCAUAAAGAAUAUGUAACACCGCAAAAAAUAUGCAACAAUAUAAAAAAGAAUAAAACAAGAAGACGUUAUAGAACAAAAAUAUAAAUAAAUGAAUAAGAAAAGAUUUGUAAUUAUUUUUUCUUCUUAAAUUAAUUAAUAACUUUCACCUCCGAUCUAAUUUCAGUUGAUAGCAAUCUCACAAUUUCAUUUUGACAGUCUCUUUUUUAUUUAUUAUUCACUAUCUCAGUUUCUUCUAGACCAUGUUCGAUUGAUAAUUCAAAUUCAUUUUUUUCUUAUUUCUUAUCAUUGUUAAUAUUUAUUAAAAAAAAUGUAAGCGUUUGCCGAGUAUUGUGCAAUAUAUUUUGAUGUUACAUCAUUUCUCUUUACCUUUCUAUAACAUAAGCUGGCUUCCUGGGAAUAGAAAGUUAACUUUAUAAAAAUGAUGAAUAGCUCAAAACUGUUGAUCUGUUGCAAAAUGCCUUUGAGCAUAAAGUUAAGGAAAAGAAAAUUGGGAUUUAUGACGGUCCGAUUUCAGCCUAGAGCGAUAACACUUGGCAUCAACUCGGACGGCUGACAUUUUACAGCAAUUGAUAUUUUUUAACAGACUCGCCUCCUAACCCCCACCCUCUAUUUUUCUCACUCUCUCUCACUGGCUAGCUUACUUUCCUUCAACUGCAAUCAUCUAUUUAAAAACAAAAGAGAGAGAGAGAGAGGGUUCAUAAAUAUCUGACAUAACUGAAAAUAUAUACUUGGCCAGAUUUUUAUUCCAUCUAAGAUGAUUUAUGUAAUUAGGUAAUUUCUCUUUACCUUUGCAUAAUGCGCAAAUAAACAUUCUACAUAUAUAUAUAUAUAAA
rnacentral:misc_RNA from 1 species